GCCAGAAUAGCUCAGUUGGUAGAGCAACGGUAUCGUAAACCGUAGGUCAAGGGUCCGACUCCCUUUUCUGGCUCAA
rnacentral:tRNA from 3 species